UACAGAGGUCCCGAGCGUUGUUCGGAUUCACUGGGCGUAAAGGGUGCGUAGGUGGCGAUGAAAGUUCGAUGUGAAAUCUCCGGGCUUAACCCGGAAAAGGCAUUGAAAACUAUGUUGCUUGAGGUUUGGAGGGGGGGACUGGAAUUCUUGGUGUAGCAGUGAAAUGCGUAGAUAUCAAGAGGAACACCAGUGGCGAAGGCGGGUCCCUGGACAACACCUGACACUGAGGCACGAAAGCUAGGGGAGCAAACAGG
rnacentral:rRNA from 1 species